UACGAAGGGGGCUAGCGUUGCUCGGAAUCACUGGGCGUAAAGCGCACGUAGGCGGAUUGUUAAGUCGGGGGUGAAAUCCUGGAGCUCAACUCCAGAACUGCCUUUGAUACUGGCGACCUUGAGUCCGGGAGAGGUGAGUGGAACUGCGAGUGUAGAGGUGAAAUUCGUAGAUAUUCGCAAGAACACCAGUGGCGAAGGCGGCUCACUGGCCCGGUACUGACGCUGAGGUGCGAAAGCGUGGGGAGCAAACAGG
rnacentral:rRNA from 1 species